AUCUCGGCUCCGACGUAUACUCUUCUCUGGCUUCAUCAACUCCUCCGGCGCCGUCCACGAGAUCAGGAUGGACAUAAGAUCACAGAGUCAAAAUCAAGAAGAAAUAUUUCGAGGUCAAGAAAGUGAGGGACAGAAAAAAGCAAGGAUGGAUUAUAUGAUAUGGACUGAAGCAGAGGCUAAUGAAUUGCUUAGACUGUUAGUAGAGGAAGUUAAGAAUGGAAAUAAA